rnacentral:rRNA from 1 species
CGCCUAUUGAAUUUUUUAUUUUAGGUCUAUCCUGCUCAAUGAUUAAAAAUUAAAUAGCCGCAGUAAAUUGACUGUGCUAAGGUAGCAUAAUAAUUAGUCUUUUAAUUGAAGACUGGAAUGAAUGGUUGAACAUGAAAAUAACUAUCUUUAAUUUAUAAUUUGAAUUUCAUAUUUAAGUUAAAAUUCUAAUAAAUAUUAUUAAGGGACGAAAAGACCCUAUCAAGUUUUAUAAUAAAUAAGUAUAUUUCUUGUAUUAAUUAUUUUAUUAUUUGUUUGGGGCGGAAUUAAUAUUAUAUCUUUUAUUAACAUUAAUAAUAAAUAAAUUUAUAAAUGAUCUUAAUAUAUUAAUUUAUAGAAUAAAUUACUGUAGGGAUAACAGAGUAAUUUUUUUAUAGAGUUCUUAUUAACAAAAAAGAUUACUACCUCGAUGUUGGAUUAAAAAAUUCUUAAUUAAUGAAAUAGUUAUUAAAGAAAGUCUGUUCGACUUUUAAAAUUUUACA